GGACCGGACAGGGAAGGGCCCUCUGGGGCUGCAGAUGCCGGCCCAGGGAAGCGCCUGGGGACCGGGAACCGGGGACCGGGACCUGGAGAUCUAGUCCCCGACCACCAAGCGGAAGUAAGGUUCCCCCCCCCUCACCUCGGAGCAUCGGCUCGGGCCGCGGGAUCACGGCCACCACCACGGCCUCGUCGUCAUCCUCCCCUUCCUCACACUUGAGCGUCACCUCGAAGCAAUCCAGAGCCGCGGCGCCCUUGGCUUUCAGGGCCAUGGCGAGGCGAAGAAGGGCGACCCGAUAGCCGAGGACGUUCGCACAGACCUCGGCGCGCCGCCUGUGGCGGCCGCCUCCUGCCCCGGACCACCCCGGGCCCGCGGCUCGCCUUGCUCACCAGCCGCUCGCCCGGCCGCCCCGCCAGCCACGGGCUUCAACGCGUCACGACCCCGGGCGGGGAGGGUUCGAUCCGGGGCCCCCAACCCCGCCGCUCCCUUUUAUGGAGGCUCAUUGUCAGCGUCCGUCCGGCAGUCCCGCCUCCAGACCAGGCUGGCCAAUCACGUGAGGACACGCCCCCUAGCCCCGCCCCAGCCACAGGUCUGGGCCAGAACCCUGUGCAGCGCGUUUGUCUCUGGCCGGUUUGCUCGGCGGCGAAGCCUGGAGUUUUCCUGGGAGCGGCGCCGGCAGCCUUGGAGACCCGGUAGGGCAUCCCCACCAAUGGCUGGAGGAAAGGUGCUGUGGGGCUGCUCGGCAUCUUACUUCUUGGCUUUCCCCUGACUAGCUGCCUGGGAGGCAACACAGACAAGAAAAGACCGGUGGGGAUGUGUGAAGGAUACAUAGGCUCAGAAGUGUGGAGACAUCUCUUCUAAUUUCUUUGGGCCUCGUUCCUUUCUACUAGCACAUACGCUUUAGGGAAAGAAAAAUCACUUUGGAUCCUCCUAAACAAAGAUUCUAGAAGAUGAAGAGGACAAGAGUGGCGUGUGGGCGUGUGUAAACCGCUUCCGAUGGAUAUAAUUUACGUUAAAAAACAAAACAAAACAAAACAAAAAACGUGAGUCCAGAGAGUGUGGCCUUUUCCCAGGACACAGCAAAUCCCCUGAGAGCCUCCAAGACCGGGAUCCGGUUGCUAUGGCGCUGCUGCCUGGCAUUCGUGCCUGAGUGAAGACUGUCACAAUGGGCACUUACACUUCUGCAUAACAUCCCCUCCCCACACAUACACACACCAGACACGCUAGAUUUCAGCUGAGAAACGGCAAAAAUGUCUGGCACUCAAAAUUCUGAUUUUAAGUGCUACCAACAGUAAUUAUCAGCCCAGAAACAGAAAUUGUGGAUGUUGUAGGAGGCUAGGGGACAGAAGAAAAACAGUUCACUUACCGUAUAUUGUGUGUGUGUGUGCGCGCGCGCGCACGCGCGCGCCCUGGCAUACCCAACCCCCCCCCCCCCCCCCCCCCACCCCCCAUCCACUGCAUCACCAGCUUUUAUUUUGUUGAGAUAAGGACUCAGUUUCAUGUCAGUCUGACCUGGAAUCUGUGUAACCCUGCUUGCCCCAAACCUUUUCCUCCUCCCUCCAUUCCCCUGGCACAAGGAUUAAAGGUCUGAGCUGACACCACAUACAGCAGCCACAAUAGAAAGAAUUGAGGAAAUUUCUAUUACUUUGAAAUGUACCCAGUACUAAAAAGAUACUCCAAAUCAAGCAAUUUCCUAGGCCUGGAUAGUUCCUACCUGAAGGCUUUUCUUUGCUUUUUGCCCAAUGCCUCUGGGUAGGUAGUCUGUUCUGUUUUUGCA
ensembl:antisense